UUUUUUUUUAACGUUUAUUUAUUUUUGAGACAGAGAGAGACACAGCAUGAACGGGGGAGGGGCAGAGAGAGAGGGAAACACAGAAUCGGAAGCAGGCUCCAGGCUCUGAGCCAUCGGCCCAGAGCCCCACGCGGGGCUCGAACUCGCGGACCGCGAGAUCGUGACCUGAGCCGAAGUCCGACGCUUAACCGACUGAGCCACCCAGGCGCCCCGACACUUUCUUUAAAGAGUCGCACAGAACUUCUUAGAUCCUACUGUUGAAGUCGGUGGCUCCUCUCUGGUGAAAUGGAUCCUGGGAAGAUGUGGCACAGAAGGAGAGGAAAUUGUUACCUGUUGAGCUUAAACCCGUGACUUUCCCAUAAUCAUCCCGCAAGCUGCCUAUAACACGAAGAUCAAAAUUGAGGAUUUCUGGCUCCCAGUCUAGGGUUUGUCUUCCUAGACCAUAGGCUCUCCAACGGAAAGUGUUAGGACAUGAAAAUAUUUAAUAAAUCUGGCCUCUUAAUGUGAAAUAGGAGGGAGUGUGAAAGCCAAAUGUGUCUUGUGUAGUUCAACUCAUUUUCACCUGAGGAACAGUAUAACACAGUGGUUCUGACCUGGGACCCCAAAGGGUCCAUACAGUACCCUCUACACAAAUCCCAUCUCUAGCACUCACCAGCAAUGGGAACCUAGUUGAGUUAUUUAAUGUCUCCAUGCCUCCAUUUCUUUAUCUGUGAAAUGGAGAUGGUAAUUGUACCAAACUCAUAAGGUUGUGGGAGAUUUCAAUACAUUAAUAACUGUAAAGCUCCUAGGAGAAGGCCUGGACCGUAUUUACUACCAAGUAAUUAGGAGCAAUUCUAUUAUUAACAGUAGGCUGUAUAAUAAAGACAAACUAUUUUUAGUUGAACAAAAGAACACUCUUUACGAAUAUUAAUAUUAUUAAUAUUUAUUCCUGCUGUGCUUAUUGGCCACCUCCUGCGGUGAAGGCGUGAAUACUUAAUCCUAAAACAGGGCCCAUUGUUCAGAUAAAUUGCCUGUAGACUGAAAAUCUUGUACUCUUGCGUGCCAUCAGACGUUUUGUGGACAAUUAGCACAUGACUAUCAUGAGUGCUCUUGCUAAUUAAAGUCGCAUUAAUACCAAAGAACUGUACAAUGGCUGGUUCUAUACUGUCAUUUCUGCAAGCUGCAUUGUUCCAAGGACAAAGCGGCUGAUGUACUGUUUCUUUCCUUUCAUAAUGCUGAGCAUGGGUAUCUGAUAGACUUGCUUAGGCUGGCAAACUUUUGAGCAGAAGUGCUAGAUUUGUAUGCAUCUUCGAGAAUUGGGCAGUUUGAAGCUAAAGUGAGCUAGGAAAGAAAUAGGAAGUGAAAAAGUAGAACGGAAAGACAUAGGUAGAUAGAGGAAGAAAAAAGAGGAAGGAGGAAAGAAGGAGACUUGAAAAGACAUGAAAGAUAAAUGAAACCACUUAAAUGGAGAAGAGUUUAAGAGCCAAACAGGAGACGCUCCAGGCAGAAGGGUUUUCUAUUGAAGUGUUUCUGAUGCCAGACCAGUGCUUUGCAGGCUGUAAUGUACAUCAGAAUCGACCGGAGGACUUGUUAGAACAAUUUCCUGAGUCCCAUCUGCAGGGAUCCCGAUCCAAUAGGUUAGAGUGGAGCCUAAUGCAAAUUCUAACAAGUCCAGAGGGGGACACUGAGACUGCCGGUCUGAGGACACUUUGAGAACCUCUGGGUCAUACUAUAGUCACACAAAAUAAAAAUAGUAGUUCUCUGCUUUUUUUAAAUUGAGCUAUGUUUUUAUACAUAGUGAAUUGCACAGAUUAUAAUGGUCUUGGUUUGCUACCCUAAACAAUUCCCUCCUAAGUCAUGUGAAGAUUUACCUGUCUCCAUCGAGGAUAGCAGGAGACUUUUUGAACACAGUCCUAGUGUUCCCGAAUAAUAAAAUGAACUUCAGUGAGUUUUUUAGCUCUUUGAAGAAAAACAUAUAUUCUAUAACCUGGCAUUGGAUGCCAAAGAACUAGAAAGCACCUACAUUAUCUUGUUUAUUCCUGGAAUAUUCCCAGGCUCAUGUAAGCUAUAGCCCAUUUUUUUAACAUGAAAUUUAUUGUCAAAUUGGUUUCCAUACAACACACAGUGCUCAUCCCAACAGGUGCCCUCCUCAAUGCCUGUCACCAACUUUUCCCUUCUCCCCCACCCCCCAUCAACCCUCAGUUUCUUCUCAGUUUUUAAGAGUCUCUUAUGGUUUGGCUCUCUCCCUCUCUAACUUUUUUUUUUUUCCCUUCCCCUCCCCCCAUGGUCUUCUGUUAAGUUUCUCAGGAUCCACAUAAGAGUGAAACCAUAUGGUAUCU